AUGUUUUGCACAUUACUUUAGUUGGUUCUUACAGCUGUGGCAAAGGAAAAUGAACCAUGUUUGUGGUUCUUUGAUCAUGUUUCUUACUUGCUCAAUAUUGUUGGAGUUUCUUGUAAGCGCCAUGACAUGCUUUGAGAUGUUAGAGCUCAAAAGGUUUUGGAAGCACUUGAAAUGGGUGAGAUUGAAAGUGGAAGUGGGCUAAAUCAAGAGAUGGGACUAGCUAGACCCGGUGAUACUUGUUGGGGUUCUCAUUUUAAAACCAUUAUGCACAUUGUUAGCAUGUAUUCCACAAUCCUUGAAGUACUUGAUGCUAUUGGAAAAGAUCCUUCACAAAAACGUGAGUGGACUAGAAUAUGUGGAGUUGCUCAAGCCAUUGAAUCAUUUGACUUUGUUUUCAAUCUUCACUUGAUGCUUGUUAUUCUUGGCUAUACAAAUGAGUUGUCCAAAUCUUUGCAAAAGAGAGAUCAAGAUAUUGUUAAUGCAAUGGCACUUGUUAGUUUGGCAAAGAUUAGAAUGCAACACUUGAGGUCUCAUGGUUGGGAAGAAUUUCUUGCAAAGCUAACCUUAUUUUGCAACAAACAUGACAUUCAAGUUCCUUUGUGGGAGGAUACUUGUGAGCAUCAUUCAAUUAUGAAGAGAGGUAUAUCUUGGUGUCAUUGA
rnacentral:rRNA from 1 species